rnacentral:rRNA from 1 species
UCGAGCGGAGUGUGGUGCUUGCACUAUCACUUAGCGGCGGACGGGGAGUAAUGCUUAGGAAUCUGCCUAUUAGUGGGGGACAACAUUUCGAAAGGAAUGCUAAUACCGCAUACGCCCUACGGGGGAAAGCAGGGGACCUUCGGGCCUUGCGCUAAUAGAUGAGCCUAAGUCAGAUUAGCUAGUUGGUGGGGUAAAGGCCUACCAAGGCGACGAUCUGUAGCGGGUCUGAGAGGAUGAUCCGCCACACUGGGACUGAGACACGGCCCAGACUCCUACGGGAGGCACAUUGGGGAAUAUUGGACAAUGGGGGAAACCCUGAUCCAGCCAUGCCGCGUGUGUGAAGACGGCCUUUUGGUUGUAAAGCACUUUAUUCGAGGAGGAGGCUACUUAGAUUAAUACUCUAGGAUAGUGGACGUUACUCGCAGAAUAAUCACCUUCUAUCUCUGUCCCGCAGCCGCGGUAAUACAGACGGGGCGAGCGUUAAUCGGAUUAUACUGGGCGUAAAACGUGCGGGAGGUGGUCUUUUUCACUCGGAGGUUGGAAUCCCUUGAACUUAUCUUAGCAAUU